UAGGCAGCUUUCUUGCCAACUGUUCAAGCCAGAUCAUGCUUCACUGCAACUUUAUAGAGGUAAAUGUGUGAUCCCAUUUCAGAGGGAAUGGGAAACCUCAGCUGUUCAGCAAAGCUGGGAGCAGAUCAGGCCAACCAGCUGACCUCAAAUGAGUGGCAGCACAGCAGGCUUCUUGGAAAAACUUGUAGUUCAAAGCACAGACUCCUGCUCUUUGUCAGGUUUUUGUUAGAAGUAAGUUUUCUAUACUAGCCUGACAAAAUUAGAGGGAGAAGCAGAGCUAGCCUUUGCUGUUAUUGCCAUUGGAAGGAGAAAUAAUGAUUUUAAUGUUUUAUGUAAGUUACCUGUGCUUAUCUAAGGACAUUCUUCUGCUGGGCUCUGAGCUGAGAUGUAGUGCUGCAGGUUGAGACGUGUAUUUUUACCAUCAAGAAAGGAAGGAAAUUAAUUUGCUUGGUCCUCGUGUGAUAUAAUCAGGAAGAUUCAGAUGGGGGAAAAAAACAAGGGAAAAAUGGGCUUGAAUUUACUGAAAAAAAUCCAAAUGUAUACAUGUAUUUAUGUAGUAAUGACAGGAUUCAUUAGACAGUUCUGGAGAUUCUCAGGGGAAGCAGGGAAGGAUUAAUUCCUUAAAAUUUUAAUGAGCGGACCGGACAAACGACUAACAUAUCACAAGGCACACCCACCUGAAUUGCCCAGGAAGUGCCCAGAUGGCCUACUAGAUAUUGUAUUUAGAGUUUUAUUUUAGAGAAGAAAGGUCAAAAUACCCUAUUGGAAAUUAAAAAAUAUCUAGCCCUCCUGUUUUUUUCUCCAGUGGGAUCCUGUUGUCCCCUGAGGUCUUGGGACCUUCUACCACACUCUUUCUGGACAUACUCACCAUACACAAUAGGAAGGAGAGUGCUUGCUUAUCUCCACCAUCUGCACUACUGUCCAAAAGCCAUCUUUUAGUAGAAAAAAAAUAUUCCUUCUCCAUGUAAUGUGCUGUCUGUGGUACAGAAUGAUCUAUUUACUAAGGCCGAGGAGUGGGCCUGAAAUGUAAUCCACUGAAAACUGGACAGCAAGGAGGAAAAGAGGUGGCCUGAGAUCAGAAGAGCA